rnacentral:lncRNA from 1 species
UUACAUAUUCUUUGUUAAAAAUAGCAUAUUAAUUUAAGUAAAUUGAAAUAAAUCCAAAAUCAAAACAAGAAGCAUAGUUAUCAGAACCGAACCAGUGAUUGAACUGGUCAAGGCAUCGGUUCACUGGUUCAACCGUGGUUCAACCGGUUAUAUAAUAAAUAAAUAAUAAAAAUAUAUUUAAAUAAAAAAAAUCAUUAAAAAAUUAUAAAUUAAUUAAAAGAUAUUAUUUUUUAUACAAUAAUUCAACAUAAGUACAAAUAGUAAUAUUUAUAAAAAAAUAUAAAAUAUCUAAUAAUAAAAACAUUCAAGAGAAAUUUAUUUUUCUUUCUAAUUUAAUAUUUUUAAAUUUACUUUAUUGGUUAUUUUUUAUAUUUAAAAAGAAAAACGUAGCUUGCAUAAUGUGUGUUUAUUAGAUAAUAAUGUGAAUUAUUUGUUUGUGAUCUUUUAAUUUUUUUUUUAAUUUUUUGCUAAUAGCCCUCUUCUUUUUUAUCUUUAUUUUUUAAUAUAUUUUAUAUUUUUAUCUUGAAUUAUUUUUUGAAAAAUAACGUAUCUUGAUAUAUUUUAUUAUAAUAUAUAAAUAUCGAAAGAUGAGAUACCAACGGAAGAAGAGAGAACGUGCGUUAUGUAGCUAGUCAUUUUUUUUUCCUCUUGUUUUUUUUUUUUGCUUCUCUUGACUUUCAUUUGAGAGUUUUCCUUUUUUUUUAAUAAAAAAUCAUAAAAGAUAUGUUUAAAAAAUAAUGGUGUUUAAAAAUUUGUGUAUUUUUUAUUUUUUUAACUUUUUUCAAAAAUCGGCCGAUUCACUAAAUACCGUCCGGUUCACCCGGUUCAAUCCGGUUCACAUGCAUUUUCGGUUAAUUAAUUGAAUCGUACCGAUUUAAAGUCCAGUUCCCGGUUCAACCGAUUAAACCGGCCGGUUCAAUUCAGUUCGAUUUUUAUAAUUAUGACAAGAAGUACAUAAUAUGACAUAUUUAUGGGAGCAAUAAAGUGAAUUCAUGAAACCAAUGGUUAAACAUGAAUCGUACUACAAAUUGACAUAAGACUCGUUUUGUUCCAAGUAAGGUUUUGUGCAAAUAUUCAAUUCACCUGUCAAUCUGUCCGACUCGAACCAACCCAACUUAAACCCGACUAAACUCGCUCACUUUACAGAUAAAUAAUGGGUGGAUUUCAAAUAACCCAACCACAUUUGGUUCGGGUGUGCGGGCCAUUCAAUAGCCCAAGUCGAUAAAAUAUUGCACUAAAAUCCACCAUUUUCAUCCAACUCGACCCCAACCUGACCAAAUUCAAACCGACCCGACCUGACCAUCUAUUGGAUCGGAAUUGGGCCCAAACUUCUCUAACUCGAUCAGUUCGAUUCGAGUAUUGGGUCACCCAAACUCGACCUGACCCGACCCGACCCGACACGUGAACAACCCUAGUUCCAAAUUUGACACAAAAAAUUGCGAGAUACUACACUAGCAUUAUUGCGACUAAAGUACUUGUUUUGGCUGGAUUAGAGGUUCAUUACAUCCAAUGUAAUCGAGAGAUUCAUUACACUAAAAUUACAUUUAUAUUAUAAAUCACAACUCAUUUUGAAUCUCAAAACUAUCUUUUCCUAUCUACGAAAUUCAUUUGAGUUAAUCUAACGGCUGAAAUUUCACCUGAAAUUAUGUUUUUCCUCCCAAAAAUAUCACUUCUUUCUUCUCAAAGAUGUGAGACCCACAUAGGUUCUUAUCCAAUAGACAAAAAAUUUCUAAAUCUAAAUAUAUUUUUUACCCCUUAGAUCAUUUUUUAGUGGGACUCACAUUAAAAAAAGCUAAAAUACCUCUUUCUUUUCCUCAUUUCUCCCAAAUUAGCAUUUUUUUAAAAAAAUAUUAUAAUUGCUAAGUAGAAUAUCUCUUCAUAUAUGCAUAUAGUAUAUCUUUUUAUCUGACAUUUAUAUUUUAUCUAUUUUUUAUAUUAUAAAAAUCUAACAAGUACACUUAAGAUGUGAUUUUUUUUAUAUGUAAUGCCUGUGAGCACGGAUAAGUACUAAUACUUUUAUAUUAGAUAGUUGUUUUUUCUCUCUCUGUUCUUUCCUUUUAUCCUCUCUCCUUUUUAUUUGGUUCUAUCUACAAACAAUUCUUUAGAGAAAUUGAAAAGGUUAAAAAAACAAUUAACAAAAAAAGUAAUAAAGUCCAAAUUAAUCAAAAAUAAAAUAUCCAAUUUGGAAUGAAUAUGGGUUUUAGUAGUUUUUGUAAAAAUAAAAAUAAUAGUAAUAAUUUUAAUUUGUAAUUUCUAUAAUCAAGACAAACUAAAAAAGUAAAAAAAAAUGUACUAAAGACGAAAGUAAUCAAAAAAAUAUGUUUUUUAGAAUCAUUGUUGGGUUUUUUAUAUAAAAAAUAUUGUAAAUAUAUUUAUCAAUAAAUAAUAUUUUUUUAUAUCUAUAAAAUAAAUAGUGAAUCUUAGUGUUUUUGGAGGAUUAUGAUCAAAUUAAAAAAAAAAUUAUCAACAUUUAGUAUGUAAAACGACGUAAUUUUAAUGU